rnacentral:rRNA from 1 species
UACGAAGGGGGCUAGCGUUGCUCGGAAUCACUGGGCGUAAAGCGCACGUAGGCGGCUCUUUAAGUCAGGGGUGAAAUCCUGGAGCUCAACUCCAGAACUGCCCUUGAUACUGAGGAGCUUGAGUCCGGGAGAGGUGAGUGGGACUGCGAGUGUAGAGGUGAAAUUCGUAGAUAUUCGCAAGAACACCAGUGGCGAAGGCGGCUCACUGGCCCGAUACUGACGCUGAGGCACGAAAGCGUGGGGAGCAAACAGG